rnacentral:lncRNA from 1 species
UGGUCGUACAGGAAAGGGCAGGGGCGACUCCCCACUCUUCAAAACCCUAGAACUUCACUAAUCUUGCAAAUUGAAGGUCCAAUUCAGUCCAAAAUCGAAAUUUAAGCAUGGAUUAUUGAUCCUCAUCACAAGAGGAUUAAAAGUUUGAUCUCGUCAAGCUAAGUGGGAGCUGGAAAGGAAUGGAUCAAACGGAUCAUGGAUGCGAAGAAUGUUUGCGCGGACGCGAGGGUAAAACGGCUUAUGGAAUUUACGUGGCUAUGAAUCAGCAAAUUAUUAAGGCAAGGUAUUAAAACGGGUCAAUACUUUGACCCGCGCCAGGUUCAUUUUGGAUGCCGAGAGACGAUCAAGCUCAUCGAAGAACCGAACACGAUAUAGUUACAUGCUUCCGCACUUUGCCACGUUGUAUAUUUUAAACAACGAAUUCGAUCACGUUUUGUAGAAUAACUUAUGAAUUGUAAAAGUUUUAAUUUACUCGAAAUUUUCUAAGGAUACUUAACCUUAAAUACAUGUUUAUUUUCGUAAAUUAUACGAAAACCUUUAAAAAAAUAACUAGGGUGUUACAAGUUGGUAAUCAGAGCUCAUGGUUAAAGAGUAAAGUGUGUUCGGUUCGAGGCUUGAUCGCAAAUCCGGUAAGUACAUGUAUAUUAAUGGUUUGGUAUGUGUUGAAAUGUUGUGAACAACACAUAGGGUUAUCGUGUGAUACACGUUACCUCAAUUAAAUGAUAAAUAUAGUUGAGAAAAUUACGCGCGUUGACGCGUAUAGUAGAAAAGCCUUGUAUUAUAAUACGGGCGAUUAUUGAAGUUGAUAUUACUAAUUCUUGUAAAUGUUUUAAUUGAAGGACACUCGCAUCUGAAGAUAGCGGGAGUUUAACAAAUUGCGGAUAUGAUGAUGGAACGGUCCGAGAUGUGACAAGAAGAGCAUACUCAUCAAGGACCUAAAUCGCGUAACGAUCGCAAAUAAGUAAUGGCAAGGAAUGCCCGUCGGGGCAAGCAUUACCAGGUGCACAUUUUAAACUUAUAGUACAAACAGUAAUAUGCAACAAAUACAUAGUGAAUGACAGUUAAAUAUAGAAUAUGAAACUUGGAAAAACCUGGAUAGGUUACCUAUCCAGGAUGACGUUUCCAAGAGAAAUUCAGUAGAGAAUAUGUAUUAUUCACAAAUUGUGAAUAACAAGACAAUAACAGAAUUCAGUUUAUAUAGAAACUUGGACGAGAGUGAUCAUCCAAGUAAGUAUUCUCAAUAUAAAUCCUAUUGAGAAAAGUAAUGAUCACAUCAACAAAUGUGAAUAAAUGUUUAUAAAAAGGGACAUUUUACAUGUUCAAGGAUAAACGACUAAAACUAAUAAUUGUUAACUAACAAUUAAAUAAAGUUUUACCAAAUGAAAUCAUAAAUAUGGAAAUAAUUUGAGGAGUUACUUACAUGGGACGUGAUGUGGUAAUUAUAAUAAGGUCACGCGUACCAUGUGUUGAUCGCUUACUCUGGCCAAGUAAGUAGUGAACACAUGAUAGCAUGAGCUUCUUAUAAUGAGCGCAGUUAUGUCCGAUGUAGUAAGGUCAAGAUGAAUGAAAAUUUAAAGGUCCUUAGGGUCAAGAAAUCUUAUGGGCAUACUCGUAUAAAUGGUUUUCGCGGGAACCAUAAAAACGACGUAUGGCGCACAUAGAAAUAAAUGACCCAAGGAAAUUCGUGACAUAAGUCAUUUCGGACGAAACAACCAUGGUAGACAAAAAGGGCAUUGUAAAACCAAAGUAUAAAUGACCCGCGGGGUCAUAGAAACAAAGGUAUUGCCCACAUGAAAAAAAAACGAUCAAAAACCAUGGUAGACAAAAAGGGCAUUGUAAAACCAAAGUAUAAAUGACCCGCGGGGUCAUAGAAACAAAGGUAUUGCCCACAUGGGAAAAACGAUCAAAGUCAUUGACUUUGGUCGUAGUAAAGAAAUGAUGAUGAUGAUAAUCAUCAUUCAUAGUUUAUAAGACUGUCAAGGAUGGUCGAAUAAGGAAUAAAGGUUUGGUUGAAUAAAAGCGAUGGAUUUCGCUAAGACAACCAAACAAAUUAAAACGAAAUCUUAAUGUAUACCGGAAUGCUUGCACUAAUAAUGACUUCGGUAAAGUACCCGGUUGAUGGGUAAGGAUGUAAACACAUGCGAAAACCGAGAAACGGGAACACGAAUUUAAAGUCAAAAGACUCGGAUUAUGAGUUAUGACUGAAAGACCAUAAAAUUUCGCAAACAGAAAUUUUGAUAAUUAUAUUCAACUAUUUUGAGGUUGAACGGGUUGAAUAAAGUAUAAUGCUUGAUGGCAUAAGUAAGCGCAAGCCGGAUAACAGUAAGCUUGAGACAAAUCGAUGCUUAAUUGACGUGAGAAGUCAUAGAGUCGGAAGAAUUAUCCGAAAGAAAACGAUUGUAGACACGAACUACAUUCAAAGUUAACGGAUUUCAAGCAUGAAAACAAAUGAUUU